GUGAGGAAUAUUGGUCAAUGGACGAGAGUCUGAACCAGCCAAGUCGCGUGAAGGAAGACGGUUCUAUGAAUUGUAAACUUCUUUUGUGCAGGAAUAAAGUGGGUUACGUGUAACCUUUUGUAUGUACUGUACGAAUAAGGAUCGGCUAACUGCGUGCCAGCAGCCGCGGUAAUACGGAGGAUCCGAGCGUUAUCCGGAUUUAUUGGGGUUAAAGGGUGCGUAGGUGGAUUGAUAAGUCAGCGGUGAAAGUUUGCAGCUUAACUGUAAAAUUGCCGUUGAAACUGUCGGUCUUGAGUGCAAAUGAGGUAGGCGGAAUGUGUUGUGUAGCGGUGAAAUGCUUAGAUAUAACACAGAACUCCGAUUGCGAAGGCAGCUUACUGGGAUGCAACUGACACUGAUGCACGAAAGCGUGGGUAUCAAACAGGAUUAGAAACCCCUGUAGUCC
rnacentral:rRNA from 1 species